ensembl:lncRNA
GCUUGAACUAGUGGUGGAGUGGAGGCUGCCAUAGAUGGAGCAGAUGGCUGAACUGCAGACUGUGCUGAUGGUGGAGUGAAUGGUGGCACAGCAACUGCAACCGGUUGAGAAGAGAGAGUCAAAAGGUAGAGUGGCAGCAGCAGAUUGUGAGGCUGAGAGGAGCACACCAGACCUAAACUUUUCCAGGGGUCCAGAAGUGGCGGAAGCCAUAAGCUCAGUCUCUGGGAAGGCCCUGGGGAGAAUCUCCGUCCCCGAACGACCUGAGUGGGCCAGAAAGUCACUUGGCUCAGCGUGCCCUUCGCACUCUGUGCUGCCUAACUCAGAAACUACUGACUCAGAGCACACCAGCACAGGGUCAACAUUUUCAAAAGUCACAGCCUCAGAGUUAAUUGUAUCAGUGUUCACUACUCUUGAGUUACCGGGUUCUGGCAUAAAAACUUCUAAGCUCAGAAUGAACACCAGAACAACAGUUCACAUCACUCCCCUCCUCGGAGUUAACAUUUUCAAAGUUCACUGAAGUAAUUGAUGAAGACAAAUUGUCUUUGUUACUCACAACAGCCGGCUGUUCAGAGGUCCGGGAAUCCAGCUGCAGUAAAGUUAAAAGUGAAGACUGUAAGAGGAACAUUUAGAUGACAUUACAACAAUUUUUCUUUUAGAGUUUGUUUUUUUUAAUUUGUAGCUCUGACCCGGAUGAGGGUAAGCAGAAGAGAAUGGAUGGAUGGAUGAAAAGAGUAAAUACGAGUCUUCAAGUCUUAAACUGCUCACUCGACAGGAGUGUGGCUAAACCUAAUUUAAAAUCUUGUGCUUGUGAAGUGCUGAAUGACUUGCUUUUGUGGGUGUGUAUGAAAUGAACUAUUAAAGGACUUUAAUUUCUUUAACUUUUUUUGAUCCGUUUGCUAUUCCUGACCAAGCACACACUGAUGCAUAUAUGUAAAGUGGAUUAUGUUCUUUAUGUGAGGCGAAUUAAACUCAAAACAAUUGUGAAAAAAUUGUUGUUAGUUGAAAUAAAAAUAAAAAUUAGACCUGUGAAAAAAUUAAAAAUUUAUAGAAAAUGUCCCUUUAUUUUAGUCUUUGUUAGUUUGUCAGAGUUGGUUUAUUGUAGCUGAAUUAAGGUGACUAAUAAAUGCUAACUAAACUGGGAAAAUGAAAUACUAUAAGCAUGAUACAUGAGACUAGGACCGUCAAAUCCUGAAACCAGAGGCCUGGAACAUGACACAGACAAACAAAUGACCUAACAAGGAACAAAGAAAAAGUCACGCAAUGGCUGUGUCGAAAUUCAGGGGAAGGCUGCUGCGAAGGAUCCUACUUACCUGGUCCACAUAGGACGGGUCCUUCGGCUGUGAAAGUGGACAGUCUUCUAGCCUUCGUUCACUUGUACUGCAGGAUUAACCUGAGUGUCCCAGUCCUGGACCGUUUUUUUUAUCCAGGAGGAUCCCAGGCCUGAUUAUUGUUGAUGUAUUAUAUAUAUUCUUGUUUUAUUGUUAUUGUUAUCGACUUUAUUCUCAUUAAAUAAAUAUCAAUUUAAAAUGUUUUAAAGUUAGCAUUAUGUUCAUACGUGUUAAAAUUAACUUAAAUAAAAUGAGUUCAGUGACA